rnacentral:rRNA from 1 species
ACGUAGGUGGCGAGCGUUGUCCGGAAUUACUGGGUGUAAAGGGCGAGUAGGCGGGUAAACAAGUCAGAUGUGAAAUACCACGGCUCAACUGUGGGGGUGCAUUUGAAACUGUAUAUCUUGAGUGAUGGAGAGGCAGGCGGAAUUCCUAGUGUAGCGGUGAAAUGCGUAGAUAUUAGGAGGAACACCAGUGGCGAAGGCGGCCUGCUGGACAUUAACUGACGCUGAGGCGCGAAAGCGUGGGGAGCAAACAG